rnacentral:misc_RNA from 1 species
GAGUAGAAUAUUAAAAAUCUUUCACUUAAGAGAACGACGACAUCUAUAAGGAAUCUUCCAAAAACAAAUGUAUUGAUGGAGAAAAUAUAGACGUCUACGAACAAAACAACAUAAAGAAGAAAUAACAUUACCCUAUAAGGAAGGAAGAAAGAUUUCAUCGUUAAUAGGUUUAUGAAUAUUAAUAAACAAAAAUAAAGUACGAGAAAAAGGAACUAGUUGAUUAUUUCAAUUUUUUUUAAGAACAAAAAACAAAUAAGAUUAAAGAAGAAGAGUACAUUUCCAGAGAAUAUCGUGAUAGCAAGAAAAGACAGAUAUGGCUUCUCUAGAACUAACUGCUCAGGAAUUAGGAAUAACCGAUAAACAAUGGAAUAUAUUAGCUAAGUUUAAAGAAGUAAUUAAGGAUGAAAUUCGGCCUACACACACCGACUAUUAUCUUGUAAAGUGGCUUAAAGCUCGCAACUAUGACAUUUCGAAAGCUGAAUCGAUGUUUCGAAAUAGUAUGAAGUGGAGGGAUGAAUUUGGUACUGAUAGCCUGUUGACGGAAUUUAAGGAUCCUGAGGUAUUGGAGAAGCAUUGGACAGGUGGGACAACCGGCUUUGAUACGGAUGGUAGACCUUUGUUUCUUAUGGCUUGUAGAGGAAUGGAUUUUAAAGGAAUAUUUAGAUCGGUAAAUAAGUCUGAUUUACAUAAAUUUCAUAUAAAACGAAUGAUGAGAUUGUUGGAAAUAGGAAAGGAACAAACUGCUAAGACGGGAAAGCAGAUCGAUCAAACAACUGUAGUAGCCGAUAUGGAUGGUCUUACUUUAAAGCAAUUCUUCGUUCCAGGAAUGGAUCAAAUGUACGAAGUAUUAAGGAUAUACGAAUCGAAUUUUCCAGAGUUCUUAGGUGCUGCCUACGUUAUCAAUGCGCCAAGGAUAUUCCCUCUUGUAUUCAACGUGUUAAAACCAUUUAUGAGUGAUGAUACUAAAAGGAAAAUUCAUAUUUUUGGAAGUGAUUGGAAGAGUAAAGUUCUUGGCAAGUUUAUUGAAGCUGAUCAAUUACCCGUCAGUUGGGGUGGAACGCAGAUAGAUGAAAAUGGCGACGAAUUUUGUAAAACGAAGGUCAUUUAUGGGACGGAAGUGCCAAAGUCAUAUUUUUUGAAGGAUAAAGGUUUAUUGAAUGAGAAGAAUACAGUAAAGAUUAAUGUUAAGAGGGGAAGUGCUAAGAGGAUUGAAUUUAACGUUGACGAAGAGAAUUCAGCACUGAAAUACGCUUUUCAAACGGAUAAUCAUGAUGUUGGAUUUGGAAUAUUUAAGGCUAAAAAUCCAAAAGAUUCUGUUAAAGAUAUGCAACCGUUAAUUCAACCAAAAAGAUUGAACUGCCAUCUCGUACCAGAAUCAGGAUCUAUACGCCUACAGGAGAAGGGACUUUAUUUGGUUAUUUUUGAUAAUUCGUAUAGUUGGGCAAGGAGUAAAACCGUAUAUUACGAUAUCGAGAUAUUGAAACCAGAUAAGACAUCUGAUAUGAAAGUCGAAGAAUUAAAAGAGGGCGAAGAGGAAGAAGAGGAAAUUGAUGAAAAUUGGAAAACCCAAUUAGAAGACAAGUUAACUGAUAAUGAACGUUGUUAAUCAACUAUCAACUAUCGAAAAAUAAUAAUAAUAAAAAAAAGGAAUAGAAAGGAAUGAUUCAUAAUAAAUAUCGACCUCGAUUUAUGCCAUGAUUUGCGAAGAAUUAUUGAUUUUUUUAAUGCGAAAAAAAACUCUUUUUAUUAAUUCUUCCGUACUGUAAUGGAAAAUCCGAUUUACUUGUAUUAUCAUGACGUCAUUAAUGCUCAGUAUAUACUCUGUACAUGCACUCCUGAUUAUGACGUGUCGAUGCAUAUACAUGUAUAGUGUAUAAAUACUGUUGUACUUUCAUAAACAUUGUACGUAUAAUUGUGUCUGUUAAUUAAUAUAUAUAUAUAUAUAUAUAUA